ensembl:lncRNA STARD13-AS STARD13 antisense RNA
GGAGACUCUAAGACUUCUGAAGAGUUUCUUGCUUCUUUCCUGUGGGGCAGUGACUCCACUUCCCAGCAGUAAUGGAAUAUCCUGAAUUAGCUACAUUAAUGUUAGAACCAUUUGGACCUCACCCAGGACUUCAACUACAUUAUGGUUAAGACAGAGAAUCUGAAGACUGCAUACCUGACCUCUCGUUUUUACCUACCCACCCACCCACACCCAAAUAUUUCUACUGGACUAUAAUUUAUUGUGACGCCCCCAUUUCCACUGCAGGAUGUUAUAAGAAAUGAGACUCACUACUGAAUUCACAGCAGGCAUGGUUGAAGGCACCAUUCACUAUAGCUUGCAGUGUUCCCUUUAUGAGAUUUGUAUGAGAAAUUCCUCUCAUAGGUCAAGUUCUUGGGAGAAAAUUCUCCCAAAGAGCAAGUCCCAGGAAAAUCUUGGCUGCUAAAGUUACAGAACCCAAAUUUGGCAACUGUCUGCAUCUGAACAACAGAAGUUUCAACAUUCUGCCAACAGAGUAACUCCUGGACGAUUGGCACAGAAGAAGGCACAAGGCAAAUACCCAUCUCUGUACACCCUGUGCUACUGUGUCAUGUGCUGCUCCAGGCAACUCCAAUGGAUUGGCCACCCUGGCCAAUGUGUUCUAGUAUGUUACGUUUAUGUUCCCCUGCUUUCUACAAUCCUGUUCAAAGAGUUGCUGACUUAACCACAGAGAGGAUUCCAGAACCUGAGACACAGAAUAAACUUGAGCAAUCAUAGUCCAUCCACUUCAUUGUCUCAUCAAAAACCAAAGGUCCAGUGAAGCUCUGGAACUCAACGCUGUAAAGGAGCGAAGGAGCUUCUAUACAGAGCCUGGAUGCCUGUCUCCUUAUCCUACUUCAGUGGACUUGACUGCAAUCCGGAUUA